CUACGGGUUGCAGCAGUGAGGAAUAUUGCACAAUGGGGGGAACCCUGAUGCAGCAACGCCGCGUGGAGGAUGACGCAUUUCGGUGUGUAAACUCCUUUUAUAUGUCAAGAAAAUGACGGUAGCAUAUGAAUAAGCACCGGCUAACUCCGUGCCAGCAGCCGCGGUAAUACGGAGAGUGCAAGCGUUACUCGGAAUCACUGGGCGUAAAGGACGCGUAGGCGGGUUGGAAAGUCAGGUGUGAAAUCCUACAGCUUAACUGUAGAACUGCACUUGAAACUUCUAAUCUAGAGUAUGGGAGGGGGAGAUGGAAUUAGUGGUGUAGGGGUAAAAUCCGUAGAUAUCACUAGGAAUACCUAAAGCGAAGGCGAUCUCCUGGAACAUUACUGACGCUAAGGCGUGAAAGCGUGGGGAGCAAACAGGAUUAGAUACCCGGGAGUC
rnacentral:rRNA from 1 species